UGGGGAAUAUUGGACAAUGGGCGCAAGCCUGAUCCAGCAAUGCCGCGUGUGUGAAGAAGGCCCUUGGGUUGUAAAGCACUUUCAGCGGGGAGAAAGGAGCUGCGAGGAUAAGUCGCGGCUUUUGAUGUUACCCGCAGAAGAAGCACCGGCUAACUCUGUGCCAGCAGCCGCGGUAAUACAGAGGGUGCGAGCGUUAAUCGAAAUGACUGGGCGUAAAGGGUGCGUAGGCGGUUUGUUAAGUUAGGUGUGAAAGUCCUAGGCUCAACCUGGGGAUUGCGCCUAAUACUGACGAUCUGGAGUGCUAGAGAGGAAAGUGGAAUUUCCGGUGUAGCGGUGAAAUGCGUAGAUAUCGGAAGGAACAUCAGUGGCGAAGGCGACUUUCUGGCUAGCAACUGACGCU
rnacentral:rRNA from 1 species